rnacentral:rRNA from 1 species
UACGGGGGGAGCAAGCGUUGUUCGGAUUUACUGGGCGUAAAGGGCGCGUAGGCGGCCACCGCAAGUCAAUUGUGAAAUCUCCGGGCUUAACUCGGAAAGGUCAACUGAUACUGCGGGGCUAGAGUGCGGAAGGGGCAACUGGAAUUCUCGGUGUAGCGGUGAAAUGCGUAGAUAUCGAGAGGAACACCUGCGGCGAAGGCGGGUUGCUGGGCCGCCACUGACGCUGAUGCGCGAAAGCCAGGGGAGCGAACGGG